CGGCUAAAUGAGGACAAAGCUGUCUCUUACGGCCUAGCCAAUGAAAUUGAUCCUCCAGUACAAAAGCUGGAAUAAACUCAUAAGACGAGAAGACCCUGUGGAGCUUUAAAACCAAGAUCAUUAAACUAUGCUCCUUGGAUUUUUAGUUGGGGCGACUUUGGAGCAAAAAAAACCCUCCAAAACAUAAAUUUAAUUAUUUAGACCAACACACCAAGAAAAUUAUAUUAGACCCAGCAGUAUUUUUUUACUGUCUGACCAAUGAACCAAGUUACCCCAGGGAUAACAGCGCUAUCCUCUUCUAGAGUCCCUAUCGACAAGAGGGUUUACGACCUCGAUGUUGGAUCAGGACACCCCUAUAGUGCAGCCGCUAUAAAAGGUUCGUUUGUUCAACGAUUAAAGUCCUACGUGAUCUGAGUUCAGACCGG
rnacentral:rRNA from 1 species